CAUAGGUACAUGUUACUGGAAC
rnacentral:snRNA from 1 species